UCUCAGUAGGCCUGACCCUGAGUCACUCCUUAGAACAUAAUGUCCUUUCCACAGCAAGCAAGGACAACUAGCUGAUGCAGGAAGCAGGAUCUUCUGUUGCUUCUAUCCCAAAGAGCAGACAAUUGUUGCUAAGGAAAACUUGUGUAUGGAUUAUGGGUGUCAAGUUAAAAAAGUAUUGACUAAGCCUGAGUCUCAAGAAAUAAAGAUCAAACACACAUAUAAAAUCCAAAAACAGGUAUCAAAUAGCUUUAAUGAAGGCCAAAUGGUUUUGCUGAAAACCAACAAUUGCUUCCCUCUUAUCGUGGAAGUAUGGACAUAAAUGACCAGUUGCUC